rnacentral:misc_RNA from 1 species
GAUGAAGAACGUAGCGAAAUGCGAUAAGUAGUGUGAAUUGCAGAAUUCAGUGAAUCAUCGAAUCUUUGAACGCACAUUGCGCCUUCUAGUAUUCUGGGAGGCAUGCCUGUUUGAGCGUCAUUAAACCUCUCUCAAGUAUGAUUACUUGGAUGUGAAGGAAGAGUACCUUAAACUUAAGGAGUGUUCUCCUUUGAAAUUGAUUAGCAGAUGGUAAUGUUAUUAAAUCCCUGAUGUUGUAAGAAAUAACAGUGGUUUUGUAGACUAUUAUCUAGCUUUAAAUUACAAUUUUUAUUAUGGUUGACCUCAAAUCAGGUAAGGAUACCCGCUGAACUUAAGCAUAUCAAUAAGCGGAGA